CUAGUAACUGCGAGUGAAGCGGGAAAAGCUCAAAUUUAAAAUCUGAUGGUCUUUGGCCGUCCGAGUUGUAAUCUAGAGAAGUGUUACCCGCGCUGGACCGUGUACAAGUCUCCUGGAAUGGAGCGUCGUAGAGGGUGAGAAUCCCGUCUUUGACACGGACUGCCAGGGCUUUGUGGUGCGCUCUCAAAGAGUCGAGUUGUUUGGGAAUGCAGCUCAAAAUGGGUGGUAAAUGCCAUCUAAAGCUAAAUAUUGGCGAGAGACCGAUAGCGAACAAGUACCGUGAGGGAAAGAUGAAAAGAACUUUGGAAAGAGAGUUAAACAGUACGUGAAAUUGCUGAAAGGGAAACGCUUGAAGUCAGUCACGCUGCGAAGAAUCAACCUUGCUUUUGCUUGGUGUACUUUUUCGUCUGCGGGUCAGCAUCAGUUUUGAUCAUUGGAUAAAGGUUAUGGGAAUGUGGCAUCUUCGGAUGUGUUAUAGCCUGUGAUUGCAUACAAUGGUUGGGACUGAGGAACUCAGCGCGCCGCAAGGCCGGGAUUCGUCCACGUUCGCGCUUAGGAUGCUGGCAUAAUGGCUUUAAUCGACCCGUCUUGAAACACGGACCAAGGAGUCUAACAUGCCUGCGAGUGUUUGGGUGGAAAACUCGAGCGCGUAAUGAAAGUGAAAGUUGAGAUCCCUGUCGUGGGGAGCAUCGACGCCCGGACCAGACCUUCUGUGACGGAUCCGCGGUAGAGCAUGUAUGUUGGGACCCGAAAGAUGGUGAACUAUGCCUGAAUAGGGUGAAGCCAGANGAAACUCUGGUGGAGGCUCGUAGCGAUUCUGACGUGCAAAUCGAUCGUCAAAUUUGGGU
rnacentral:rRNA from 1 species